AACGAACGCUGGCGGCAUGCCUAACACAUGCAAGUCGAACGAGACCUUCGGGUCUAGUGGCGCACGGGUGCGUAACGCGUGGGAACCUGCCCUUAGGUUCGGAAUAACUCCCCGAAAGGGGUGCUAAUACCGGAUAAUGUCUUCGGACCAAAGAUUUAUCGCCUUUGGAUGGGCCCGCGUUGGAUUAGCUAGUUGGUAGGGUAAAAGCCUACCAAGGCGACGAUCCAUAGCUGGUCUGAGAGGAUGAUCAGCCACACUGGGACUGAGACACAGCCCAGACUCCUACGGGAGGCAGCAGUGGGGAAUAUUGGACAAUGGGCGAAAGCCUGAUCCAGCAAUGCCGCGUGAGUGAUGAAGACCUUAGGGUUGUAAAGCUCUUUUACCCGGGAUGAUAAUGACAGUACCGGGAGAAUAAGCGCCGGCUAACUCCGUG
rnacentral:rRNA from 1 species